GCGAACGCUGGCGGCGUGCUUAACACAUGCAAGUCGAGCGAAGGUGUUUCAAGGGUAACCUUGAGAUACACUUAGCGGCGGACGGGUGAGUAAUACGUGGAUAACUUACCUCUAGGCCUGGGAUAACCCCGGGAAACUGGGGCUAAUACCUGAUAAGACCACAUUGUCUACGGACAAAGGGGCAAAAGGUGGCUGUGCAAACAGCUAUCGCCAAAAGAUAGGUUCACGUCCCAUCAGGCAGUUGGUGAGGUAAUGGCUCACCAAACCAAAGACGGGUAGCCGACCUUGGCGGGUGAACGGCCACACGGGGACUGAGACACGGCCCCGACUCCUACGGGAGGCAGCAGUGGGGAAUAUUGGGCAAUGGGCGCAAGCCUGACCCAGCGACGUCGCGUU
rnacentral:rRNA from 1 species